GUACGGGGGGGGGCAAGCGUUGUUCGGAAUUACUGGGCGUAAAGGGCUCGUAGGUGGCCAACUAAGUCAGACGUGAAAUCCCUCGGCUUAACCGGGGAACUGCGUCUGAUACUGGAUGGCUUGAGUUCGGGAGAGGGAUGCGGAAUUCCAGGUGUAGCGGUGAAAUGCGUAGAUAUCUGGAGGAACACCGGUGGCGAAGGCGGCAUCCUGGACCGACACUGACGCUCAGGCACGAAAGCGUGGGGAGCAAACAGGG
rnacentral:rRNA from 1 species